GGGGUAACGGCCCACCGUGGCGACGAUGCGUAGGGGUUCUGAGAGGAAGGUCCCCCACACUGGUACUGAGACACGGACCAGACUCCUACGGGAGGCAGCAGUGAGGAAUAUUGGUCAAUGGGAGAGAUCCUGAACCAGCCAAGCCGCGUGAGGGAAGACGGCCCUAUGGGUUGUAAACCUCUUUUGUCGGAGAACAAAACCCGGGACGUGUCCCGGACUGCGUGUAUCCGAAGAAAAAGCAUCGGCUAACUCCGUGCCAGCAGCCGCGGUAAUACGGAGGAUGCGAGCGUUAUCCGGAUUUAUUGGGCUUAAAGGGUGCGUAGGCGGUCUGUUAAGUCAGCGGUAAAAUUGCGGGGCUCAACCCCGUCGAGCCGUUGAAACUGGCAGACUUGAGUUGGCGAGAAGUACGCGGAAUGCGCGGUGUAGCGGUGAAAUGCAUAGAUAUCGCGCAGAACUCCGAUUGCGAAGGCAGCGUACCGGCGCCAGACUGACGCUGAGGCACGAAAGCGUGGGGAUCGAACAGGAUUAGAUACCCUGGUAGUCCACGCAGUAAACGAUGAAUGCUGGUUGUCCGGGUCGAAUGAGACCUGG
rnacentral:rRNA from 1 species